ACUCAAAGGAAUUGACGGGGGCCCGCACAAGCGGUGGAGCAUGUGGUUUAAUUCGAUGCUACGCGAAGAACCUUACCUGGGCUUGACAUCCCGCGCUACCCUACGAAAGUAGGGGUUCCCUUCGGGGACGCGGUGACAGGUGCUGCAUGGCUGUCGUCAGCUCGUGUUGUGAGAUGUUGGGUUAAGUCCCGCAACGAGCGCAACCCCCGUUACUAGUUACCAUCAUUUAGUUGGGCACUCUAGUAAGACCGCUUGGCAAUAAGCCAGAGGAAGGUGGGGAUGACGUCAAGUCCUCAUGGCCUUUAUGUCCAGGGCUACACACGUGCUACAAUGGCAGGUACAAAACGCCGCAAGCCGGUAACGGCAAGCUAAUCGUAAAAAACCUGUUUCAGUUCGGAUUGGAGUCUGCAACUCGACUCCAUGAAGCUGGAAUCGCUAGUAAUCGCGGAUCAGAACGCCGCGGUGAAUACGUUCCCGGGCCUUGUACACACCGCCCGU
rnacentral:rRNA from 1 species